rnacentral:rRNA from 1 species
CGUAAACGGUGGGCACUAGUUGUGGGGACCUUCCACGGUCUCUGCGACGCAGCUAGCGCAUUAAGUGCCCCGCCUGGGGAGUACGAUCGCAAGAUUAAAACUCAAAGGAAUUGACGGGGCCCCGCACAAGCAGCGGAGCAUGCGGCUUAAUUCGACGCAACGCGAAGAACCUUACCAAGGCUUGACAUAUACAGGAAUAUGGCAGAGAUGUUAUAGCCGCAAGGUCUGUAUACAGGUGGUGCAUGGUUGUCGUCAGCUCGUGUCGUGAGAUGUUGGGUUAAGUCCCGCAACGAGCGCAACCCUCGUUCUGUGUUGCCAGCAUUUAGUUGGGGACUCACAGGAGACUGCCGGGGUUAACUCGGAGGAAGGUGGGGAUGACGUCAAAUCAUCAUGCCCCUUAUGUCUUGGGCUGCACGCAUGCUACAAUGGCUGGUACAAACGGCUGCAAUACCGCAAGGUGGAGCGAAUCCGAGAAAGCCAGUCUCAGUUCGGAUUGGGGUCUGCAACUCGACCCCAUGAAGUCGGAGUUGCUAGUAAUCGUAGAUCAGCAACGCUACGGUGAAUACGUUCCCGGGGCUUGUACACACCGCCCGUCACGCCACGAAAGUCGGUAACACCCGAAGUCAGUGGCCCAACCGCAAGGAGG